UCAUGCCUACGGGGCGCAGCAGUAGGGAAUCUUCCACAAUGGGCGAAAGCCUGAUGGAGCAACGCCGCGUGGGUGAAGAAGGUCUUCGGAUCGUAAAACCCUGUUGAUAGAGAAGAAAGUGCGUGAGAGUAACUGUUCACAUUUCGACGGUAUCUAACCAGAAAGCCACGGCUAACUACGUGCCAGCAGCCACGGUAAUACGUAGGUGGCAAGCGUUAUCCGGAUUUAUUGGGCGUAACGGGAACGCAGGCGGUCUUUUAAGUCUGAUGGGAAAGCCUUCGGCUUAACCGGAGUAGUGCAUUGGA
rnacentral:rRNA from 1 species